AGUCGAGGGGUAUAGUAGCAAUACUAGAGACCGGCGCACGGGUGCGUAACGCGUAUGCAAUCUACCUUUUGCAGAGGGAUAGCCCAGAGAAAUUUGGAUUAAUACCUCAUAGUAUAACGACUCGGCAUCGAGAUGUUAUUAAAGUCACAACGGCAAAAGAUGAGCAUGCGUCCCAUUAGUUAGUUGGUAAGGUAACGGCUUACCAAGACUACGAUGGGUAGGGGUCCUGAGAGGGAGAUCCCCCACACUGGUACUGAGACACGGACCAGACUCCUACGGGAGGCAGCAGUGAGGAAUAUUGGACAAUGGGCGCAAGCCUGAUCCAGCCAUGCCGCGUGCAGGAUGACGGUCCUAUGGAUUGUAAACUGCUUUUGCACAGGAAGAAACAACGCUACGUGUAGCGUCUUGACGGUACUGUGAGAAUAAGGAUCGGCUAACUCCGUGCCAGCAGCCGCGGUAAUACGGAGGAUCCAAGCGUUAUCCGGAAUCAUUGGGUUUAAAGGGUCCGUAGGUGGUCUUAUAAGUCAGUGGUGAAAUCUCCCCGCUCAACGGGGAAACGGCCAUUGAUACUGUAGGACUUGAAUUAUUAGGAAGUAACUAGAAUAUGUAGUGUAGCGGUGAAAUGCUUAGAGAUUACAUGGAAUACCAAUUGCGAAGGCAGGUUACUACUAAUGGAUUGACGCUGAUGGACGAAAGCGUGGGUAGCGAACAGGAUUAGAUACCCUGGUAGUCCACGCCGUAAACGAUGGAUACUAGCUGUUGGGCGCAAGUUCAGUGGCUAAGCGAAAGUGAUAAGUAUCCCACCUGGGGA
rnacentral:rRNA from 1 species